rnacentral:rRNA from 1 species
AGCAGCCGCGGUAAUUCCAGCUCCAAUAGCGUAUAUUAAAGUUGCUGCAGUUAAAAAGCUCGUAGUUGAAUUUCGGGACCAUCAUGUCGGUCGUGCCUCGGUACGUACUGGCAUCGUUGGUUUCUCCCUUCUGACGAACCAUGAUGUCAUUAAUUUGGUGUCAUGGGGAAUCAGGACUGUUACUUUGAAAAAAUUAGAGUGUUUAAAGCAGGCUCACGCUUGAAUACAUUAGCAUGGAAUAAUGAAAUAGGACGUUUGAUUCUAUUUUGUUGGUUUCUAGGAUCGACGUAAUGAUUAAUAGGGAUAGUUGGGGGCAUUAGUAUUCAAUUGUCAGAGGUGAAAUUCUUGGAUUUAUUGAAGACUAACUACUGCGAAAGCAUUUGCCAAGGAUGUUUUCAUUAAUCAAGAACGAAAGUUAGGGGAUCGAAGACGAUCAGAUACCGUCGUAGU